GAUAGAGAAAGAAAUUGAAGUGAAAAGGGCAUUGUGGUCAUCUGAAGUUAAAAAUGACAGUGACUGAAACUCUGGCCCAGGAAGUGCUGACUUUUAACAUUCUCUGAGAAUGUCCUAAGAUGAUAGGAUGAAUAAAUGGUAUCUCACCGUCCAGGAACAGAGGAUAGAGGGGUUAGUUAUAGGGGACUUCUUACUCCUCCAACCCCUUCCCUGUGGACUGACCACACUUGGUGGUUUAGGUGUAAAUGCAGCCUCUUAGGUGUUUUCCAGCUGUUUUGUUGCCAUGGCAGCGUGUUUGUUAUGCCACUGUUUCCUUCUGGCCUCUCACAGCUCAGUUGCUAGUCUCUGUUUCAGGAUAGGGUAUUAACUAUCUGGGCAGCAGCAGCUAGUAGACUUCUUCCUCCAUCCAAGAGACUAAGCCAUUUAGUUCCCUAGUCUCCCAGCUACUGUAGAUGCUUACCUCUGCCUCUGAUAUUCGAUCCUUGGAAGUCUUAUUUUUCCAAGAGUUUGGUCUUCUCAACUAUUUCCUAUAGAAGCAAAUUUCCUUUCACCAGGAAUGUGAGGUAUAGUCAGGUUCUCCUCUUUAGUUUCCCUCCAUUCAUCUCCUUUGAUACAGCUAGAAAGCUCUCAGCUCUUUCCCCAAGAAUCAUCAAAAGAGGGGAAAUCACAUAAAGACUGGGCAGAUGGUGGGUGCAGAUUUAGCUGAAGAGUUCAGAUCUUUGAGAAGGAGGUGCAUUCAUGACAACCAAGGUUAGAUGAUGUAUUGAGAUGGGCCUAUCCUUUGGGCCUCUUUCAGCAUAAGCUUUCAAGCAUUGCUUUUAGGGGAGGGGCCACUAUGAGUCUUAAGUCAUAAACGGGGAUAAAGGAAGGAAAUAAAGAUUGUAAAAGGAGAGGAGGUUAAUAGAGGUGUAUAUAGAGUAGGAACCCCAACAGUUAAGAUCCCAGGUACCCACCCCUAUGAAAUUUACGCAUGAGCCCUUGAAGGAAGAGGGUGACCAGUGGGACUUAUGAAUGGGAAUAACUCCUCAUGACCACCUGGUAUUUCUCCGCGAGGUUUUUUGCUGUUGGAGACUGACUCCUAGGUGGGAGCAGCUGCUAUGGUCAUUACUCAGCUUCAACCCAAGGACCCAGAUGCUUGGUUAUUGGUGAUCCUGCUUUAAGUCUUAGAUGAAUGAUUUGAUGUCUGUAAAAUUGUACCUUCCUUUUAAACUUAAUUUUUAUCUUACAGCAGCAGCCAGUAAGGAGGAGAAGGGGAGAGAGCUCAUUCGAUAUUAACAACAUUGUCAUCCCAAUGUCUGUUGCUGCAACAACUCGCGUAGAGAAACUGCAAUACAAGGAAAUCCUUACGCCCAGCUGGCGGGAGGUUGAUCUUCAGUCUCUGAAGGGGAGUCCUGAUGAGGAGAAUGAGGAGAUUGAGGACCUAUCCGACGCAGCCUUCGCCGCCCUGCAUGCCAAAUGUGAGGAGAUGGAGAGGGCACGGUGGCUGUGGACCACGAGUGUGCCACCCCAGCGGCGGGGCAGCAGGUCCU
rnacentral:sRNA from 1 species